UACGUAGGGUGCGAGCGUUGUCCGGAAUUAUUGGGCGUAAAGAGCUCGUAGGCGGUGUGUCACGUCGGCCGUGAAAACCUGCAGCUUAACUGUGGGCGUGCGGUCGAUACGGGCAUCACUGGAGUUCGGCAGGGGAGACUGGAAUUCCUGGUGUAGCGGUGAAAUGCGCAGAUAUCAGGAGGAACACCGGUGGCGAAGGCGGGUCACUGGGCCAUACCUGACGCUGAGACGCGAAAGCGUGGGGAGCAAACAGG
rnacentral:rRNA from 1 species